UUCAAAGUUAUCCUAGCCCAAAUACUUAGCCCAAAUACCUAGCCCAAUUGCUAAACCUAAUGGAGCCCAAUACCAAAACAAACUGCAUGCAAAGACCCCAGAAGUUUCGGCAGCUGCUUCUCCACGUUCGUCUCCACGGCCUCCGUACCUGCGAAAAAAGUGGAUCCAAACAGCAAACAAACCAGCAUACAACGUAGCAAUAACAGAAACAUAGCAAAUAAUAGCGGAAAAUACAAGAAAAAAUGGAAAAAAGGAGUUUUCGAGAAUUUCUUUUUUCUGUUAUUUCGGCUAUAUAAAGCCAAAUUAAAUUUGAAAAAAGGGGCUGAUUUUAUAGAAAGAAAUACAGAGAAAAAGAUUGAAAAUAGAUAUACAAAAAAAAAGAGAAAAAGAAAAGAAAAGUUUGAAUAAAAGGUGAUUUUCUGUUUUUAUUUUGGUGUUCAUCGUUCUUUUUUUUUAUGUUUUUAUUUUUAUGCAUAAAAUAAAAGGAAGAGAAGAAAGAAAGCUUACCUUUGCCCUCGGAUCUACUCCAACGGGGUUCAAAAACCCAACUCGGUGAGCAUCCGGCCACCGAUCACGGUGGAGCCGCGGUGGAAGGAAAGUGACGCGGCGGCGGCUCAGGAAAAAGUUAGAAACCCUAGCAGAGAAAGCUAGGGUUGGUUUGUUUUUUAUAAAAAAAUGGCAGAAAAUGGAAUGUUUUAAAAAAAAUAUUGAUUUUAUAACAGGUACGAAACGACGUCGUUUAGGGCCUGUUUCAAUAGCCUCAAAACAGCGCAGUUCUGGCAAUGAUCUGCGCAGUGACCCGACCCGAGGGAAGGAUCCGCACGUUUUCUCCUAAGGGUCAAUUUCGUAUUUGAUCCUCCUCCUUUUGUGGCGUGUUCAAAUCAACUUUUUUUAUUUUUUUGAAUUUUGGCUCUGCAUUUUAUUUUUGUUUCAUUUUAGUCCUAUCACAGCGCUGCGUUUUGGGAGGAUGGGGAAUAUUUCCCAAUUAGUCCCCCAUGUUAUUCGCGCGCUGUAUUGUGGCCCUCAACUUUAUUUUAUUUUCAUUUCUUUCCUUUCAAUUUUGUUUUAAGUGCGAUUUAACCCUCAUUAACUUAAUUUAAUGUACUCG
rnacentral:lncRNA from 1 species